rnacentral:rRNA from 1 species
AGCAGCCGCGGUAAUUCCAGCUCAAUAGCGUAUAUUAAAGUUGCUGACAGUUAAAAGCUCGUAGUUGAAUUUCGGGACCAUCAUGUCGGUCGUGCCUCGGUACGUACUGGCAUUGUUGGUUUCUCCCUUCUGAAGAACCAUGAUGUCAUUAAUUUGGUGUCUUGGGGAAUCAGGACUGUUACUUUGAAAAAUUAGAGUGUUUAAAGCAGGCUCGCGCUUGAAUACAUUAGCAUGGAAUAAUGAAAUAGGACGUUUGAUUCUAAUUUUGUUGGUUUCUAGGAUCGACGUAAUGAUUAAUAGGGAUAGUUGGGGGCAUUAGUAUUCAAUUGUCAGAGGUGAAAUUCUUGGAUUUAUUGAAAGACUAACUACUGCGAAAGCAUUUGCCAAGGAUGUUUUCAUUAAUCAAGAACGAAAGUUAGGGGAUCGAAGACGAUCAGAUACCGUCGUAGUCUUAACCAUAAACUAUGCCGACCUAGGGAUCGGAUGAUGUUAAUUUUUUUAAUGACCCAUUCGGCGCCUUACG